UAUAAGGAUGAAUCUGAGACAGGAGACUGUGUGUCGGCUUGUUUUUCGCUAGCGCCGGAGGCUAACUAGCUCGCUAACAAGCAAGCUAACAAUAUCUUCGCAUGGGUGCAGUAACUGUCCUUCGAUUCGAUUGGGGUUAUUACCGACAAACACCGACAUGAAACGACAUGAGCGGGUCCACCCAGCAGAUAUAAGCGUUACUUUAUGCGGAUGACUCUGAGACAGGAGACUGUGUGUCGGCUUGUAAGUUAGUUUCGCUAGCGGGCUAGCGAUGCUAACUGAAACCUGAGAAACCUGAGUGUUUAAAGUCACAUCUGCAUUGCAAGAGCAGCUGUUCAAAGGAGCAGUACGUGUCCUAAAGCUCUUUCUUCAGAGUAGUGUUGUAACGUGUUACAGUGAAAAGUAACCGUGUCUCCCACCUUCAGUAUUUAAAUCGUUAAUCUCAGACAGACUUCACUGAAUUCUUUUGUUAAAUAUGAGUAAAUCAUAGCCUUGUAACUUUACUAGAACAGACAGUGUCAUACAGAAUUGUAGGCUAAUAUGCACUACCUAUUUCCUAAGCUGAAAUGAUUAUGAUCUGAUUAACUUUGAAUUCAUAUUUUAUUAUUACCAUGUAAAAGUCUGUUAAGCAGAUAACAUGGCACAUGUAUGACUUAACAUAUCUGUGUAUUUGUGUUCAAUGUUCCUCUAGGAUGUCCAGCGUGAGACACAACUUGAAUCCAACCAGACUGAACACUGACUCCAGGGACGGACGAGCCUGAAGGACACAGCUGUGAUGACCAUGUUCUGUCUCUUAUGACAAAGCAGAAAUAUAAAACACUGGGUUCUUAUCUAAAGUGUAUCAAAUCAGAUCUCCACCAUGUUGCUGCUGAGGACAUCAGGGACGGACGAGCCUGAAGGACACAGCUGUGAUGACCAAUUGACCAUGUUUUGUCUCUUAUGGCAAAGCAGAAAUAUUAAACACUGGGUUCUUAUCUAAAGUGUAUCAAAUCAGAAAGCAAAAGAUACACAUUGUUGUAAUAAGUUUCUAUUAUUUUAACCAACCAUAAUAAAGAUAGAAAUGAAUUGUUAUCCAUGACAAUGAGCAAUGACUGUUACCACUAAACAGUUGCAGGCCAUCUUUAUUUAAGGGAGGAAUUUAGAAGUGUUGUGUAGCUUCUGAUGAUGAUGCAGUCGUCCACGUGUUGACCACCAUGUUGCUGCUGACGACGUCAGGUGCUGCAGUUCCUCAUCUAUAAAGAGAAGAAACGCACUGUUAAAGAAUGUUUUGAGUUGUGUAUGAAGCACAACAGAUUUCAGAUAGAACCGUUGUACUGUGGUCUGGGUUUGUAUCCUAAUGGUUAAAUGCACAUAUUUUAAGUCGCUUUUGAUAA